rnacentral:lncRNA from 1 species
AUUCGACUUCAUUUAAUUACUAUCUUUCUUAAUAACUUAGUUCAAUUUCUGGUUCAGGCCCAUGGCCCAAUUCAAUUUCUGGUUCAACUCUGAUUCAGCUUCUGGUUCAGAUCUGAUUCAACCUCUGAUUCAGGUCUGAUCCAGCUUCUGGUUCAGGUCUGGGCCCAUUUGCAUUCAGGCCCAAAGUUUAAUUGGUUUCUGGAUCAGGCCCGUGGCCUGAUUCAAUUACUGGGCCCAUUUGUAUUCAGGCCCAGAAACACAAUUAGUUAA